UACGAAGGGGGCUAGCGUUGCUCGGAAUCACUGGGCGUAAAGGGUGCGUAGGCGGGUCUUUAAGUCAGGGGUGAAAUCCUGGAGCUCAACUCCAGAACUGCCUUUGAUACUGAGGAUCUUGAGUUCGGGAGAGGUGAGUGGAACUGCGAGUGUAGAGGUGAAAUUCGUAGAUAUUCGCAAGAACACCAGUGGCGAAGGCGGCCCACUGGCCCGAUACUGACGCUGAGGCACGAAAUCGUGGGGAGCAAACAGG
rnacentral:rRNA from 1 species